rnacentral:rRNA from 1 species
GACGAACGCUGGCGGCGUGCUUAACACAUGCAAGUCGAACGGAAAGGCCCUGCUUUUGUGGGGUGCUCGAGUGGCGAACGGGUGAGUAACACGUGAGUAACCUGCCCUUGACUUUGGGAUAACUUCAGGAAACUGGGGCUAAUACCGGAUAGGAGCUCCUGCUGCAUGGUGGGGGUUGGAAAGUUUCGGCGGUUGGGGAUGGACUCGCGGCUUAUCAGCUUGUUGGUGGGGUAGUGGCUUACCAAGGCUUUGACGGGUAGCCGGCCUGAGAGGGUGACCGGCGACAUUGGGACUGAGAUACGGCCCAGACUCCUACGGGAGGCAGCAGUGGGGAAUAUGGCGCAAUGGGCGGAAGCCUGAUGCAGCAACGCCGCGUGCGGGAUGACGGCCUUCGGGUUGUAAACCGCUUUCGCCUGUGACGAAGCGUGAGUGACGGUAAUGGGUAAAGAAGCACCGGCUAACUACGUG